rnacentral:rRNA from 1 species
GACGAGGUGGACAAACGUUAUUCGGAUUUACUGGGCUUAAAGCGUGCGUAGGCGGCUCAGAAAGUAGGGUGUGAAAGCCCUCGGCUCAACCGAGGAAUUGCGCUCUAAACUACUGAGCUUGAGGGAGAUAGGGGAGAGCGGAACUGAUGGUGGAGCGGUGAAAUGCGUUGAUAUCAUCAGGAACACCGGUGGCGAAGGCGGCUCUCUGGAUCUCUUCUGACGCUGAGGCACGAAAGCUAGGGGAGCAAACGGG